rnacentral:tRNA from 1 species
GCCGAGGUGGUGGAAUUGGUAGACACGAGGGACUUAAAAUCCCUUGGAGAUAAAACUCUGUGCGGGUUCGAGUCCCGCCCUCGGCA